UUGGAAUAGGACUCCUAAACUGAGAUCAUUCUCCAAUUUUUUUUUUUAAGACCUCAAAUCAGGUGGGACUACCUGCUGAACUUAAGCAUAUCAAUAAGCGGAGGA
rnacentral:rRNA from 1 species